CGGGGUGAGUAACGCGUGGGCAACCUGCCCUGUACCGGGGGACGAACAGCCAGAAAUGGCUGCUAAUACCGCAUAAGCCUGCGGUGCCGCAUGGCACAGCAGGGAAAACCACGGUGGUACAGGAUGGGCCCGCGUCUGAUUAGUUAGUUGGCAGGGUAACGGCCUACCAAGACGAUGAUCAGUAGCCGGCUUGAGAGAGUGGACGGCCACAUUGGGACUGAGACACGGCCCAGACUCCUACGGGAGGCAGCAG
rnacentral:rRNA from 1 species